UAAUAACAUCUUUGGUGUGAAAGACUUUGUCAUGGAACCUUCUCAUUCUUCAGUUGUGGCAGCACGUUGGAAGCGGUUGAUGCGAUUGAUGGAUAAUCGUGCUAACCAUUCAUCACAAGAAAAACCAAGGGAAGUGUUCAACAUCUCAGAGAAUUCAAGUAAGGCACAAGUGACGAAUGAUGGGAAUAACUCGACAACCUCUGAGCAAGAUAACACGCAUAACUCACAAGGUAAUGA
rnacentral:sRNA from 1 species